GUCUUAAUAAUUUAAUUUAAAAUAUUGGUCUUGUAAACCAAAAAUAAAGCCCCCCCUUUUUUAGGACA
rnacentral:tRNA from 1 species